AAAUAUCAGUUCUUCCUGGGUCUUGAGCCUGCCAGCCUUAGGAUUGGAACUGUACCAUCAGCUAUCAGUCCCAGGCCUAUGGACUUGGAUAGCAACGGAGCAAAUGAGUGAGGGCGGAUUGUGCAGUAUUGGAGACAGGCACGUCCAGGAGAGAGGGGAACGCGCGCGGCCCUCGCAGGGCCGGCAGCCCUGAUCACAAGCCUCGCCAGCUUUGACCAGCGCCCGCAGGCUGCAUCGGAAGCAUCUGGAGAAAUAUUUGAUGGAACACCCCGUAAUUAGAUGGACUGGCUUAAUUAGGAGAAGUUUGCGGGCAGAGGGAAGCCGGGGGGUCUGUGCUGGGAUCUGAAGGUUUGCAGCCUCGUCCCAGGAGGCCCGGGGCACAAAGCUCUGCCCGCUGAGCGCGCACGCGCUGCUGUGUCUGCACAUCCAAGGCGGCCCCGUGGGGUCUGCGAAUCCAAGCUGGGGGCCAGGGGCCUGCCCCCCGGCAACAGCAUUGCCAAAACGACAGCAGCCACGCUGCAUCAUCCGAUGCCCCCACCGCGCGUGUAGUCUAACAAGGCGGACAGGAUGAAAACUCGAUGCAGUCGCCCUGUGGAAGCUGGCUGUGGGAGGCAUUUUUCUGAGACUGGGAAGAGGAUUCUAGGUAUUGUGGCUUGAGCACGCACAAUAUGAGGGAAGAAUCGGACGGAACGUUUCCACCAUCUGGAACCACAGCAGCCAGAAGCAGAAAGGAGAGAUAAAUGCAGGACAGAGACAUGAUGAAAAAACAAACUUCAGAGACAACCCAAAUUCUCCAAUCUGUUGAAAAAGUUCUGGAGGUGAUGGUGGUGAUGAUUGCACAACAAUGUGACGGCACUGAAUGCCACUGAACUGUACACUCAAAAAAGUUAAGAUGGUAAAGUUUAUGUUUUACAUUUUACCACAAUAAAAACAUGAAAAAC
rnacentral:lncRNA from 1 species